GACAGAGGGUGCAAACGUCGUUCGGAAUUACUGGGCGUAAAGCGCGUGUAGACUGCCCUACAAGUCAGGUGUGAAAGCCCUGGGCUCAACCUAGAAAGUGCACUUGAAACUGCGGGGAUCGAGGGCUGAAGAAGGAAGCGGAAUUCUCGGUGUAGAGGUGAAAUUCGUAGAUAUCGAGAAGAACACCAGUGGCGAAGACGGCUUCCUAGACAAUUACUGACGCUGAAACGCGAAAGCGUGGAGAGCAAACAGG
rnacentral:rRNA from 1 species